rnacentral:lncRNA from 1 species
GAAUCGCCCCACACAGAUGGUUGUGACUCAGAUCAAGAUGUCCGAUGUAAGACGCGGACGCUAUCGACUUCGGGAUCGGUCCUUUCAGAUUGUUGUACGACAAAUCCAUCAUCAUGAAGUAAGAUCUAGGCCCGAACACGUCCGGUAUGUUGCCUUCGAUAGCGUUUCUGCUAAGGUUUAAGAUGCUAAUGCUUGAGUUGAUCAAUGUGGCUGGUAGCUUACCUGAAAUCAUGUUUCCAUCCAGAUUCAAUGUCGCCAACACCGCCAUUUUCCCUAGAGAUUCAGGAACAGGUCCGGAGAUCCUGUUCAGCGACAGAUCGAGGUCGGAGAGACGGUAGAUGUAAGAAAUCGUGUAUGGAAUCGGUCCGUAGAUCCUGUUGCCGCUCAGUAACGC